rnacentral:hammerhead_ribozyme from 1 species
AUCCAGCCUACGAGUCCCAAAUAGAACGAAAUGCGCAUCCUGGAU